rnacentral:rRNA from 1 species
ACGCUCGACACCUACGGGAGCAGCAGUGGGGAAUAUUGCACAAUGGGGGAAACCCUGAUGCAGCGACGCCGCGUGAGCGAAGAAGUAUUUCGGUAUGUAAAGCUCUAUCAGCAGGGUAAGAUAAUGACGGUACCUGACUAAGAAGCUCCGGCUAAAUACGUGCCAGCAGCCGCGGUAAUCUGAGCGGCUGGCAAGGC